CGUUCCAUGGCCAAACUGGCCAAGGCAACACCUAUUAUAGGCAAAGAUGCGGGUUUGAAUCCCGCUGGAACGG
rnacentral:tRNA from 1 species